GAUUAUGGCUCAGGAUGAACGCUGGCGGCGUGCCUAAUACAUGCAAGUCGAGCGAGGUAGCUUGCUACCUAGCGGCGAACGGGUGAGUAACACGUAGGUAACCUGCCUUUGAGACUGGGAUACCCGAGCGAAAGUUCGGCUAAUACCGGAUAACAACGGGGAUGGCAUCGUCUCCGCUUGAAAGGUGCGUUUGCACCACUCUUAGAUGGACCUGCGGCACAUUAGCUAGUUGGUGAGAUAACAGCCCACCAAGGCAAGGAUGUGUAGCCGACCUGAGAGGGUGACCGGCCACAAUGGGACUGAGACACGGCCCAGACUCCUACGGGAGGCAGCAGGUGGGGAAUCUUCCGCAAGUGGGACGAAAGCCUGACGGAGCAACGCCGCGUGAGUGAAGAAGGCCGUUCGGGACCGUAAAGCUCUGUUGGCCGGGGAAGAGUGCUAUGGGGAACCUGUAGAGGGACGGUACCCGGCGAGGAAGCCGCGGCUAACUUCGUGCCAGCAGCUGC
rnacentral:rRNA from 1 species